rnacentral:rRNA from 1 species
AUUGAACGCUGGCGGCAGGCCUAACACAUGCAAGUCGAGCGAGCGGCGGACGGGUGAGUAAUGUAUGGGGACUGCCCGAUAGAGGGGGAUAACUACUGGAAACGGUGGCUAAUACCGCAUACUAUCGGAUAACCCAUAUGGGAUUAGCUAGUAGGUGGGGUAAAGGCUCACCUAGGAGACGAUCUCUAGCUGGUCUGAGAGGCUGUUCAGCAGCACUGGGACUGGGACACGGCCCGGAGUCCGACGGAGGCAGCAGUGGGGAAUAUUGCACAAUGGGCGCAAGCCGGAUGCAGCCAGGCCGCGUGUAUGAAGAUGGCAGUAGGGUUGUAAAGUACUUGCAGCGGGGAGGCGUUACCCGCAGAAGAAGCACCGACUAACUCCGUGCCAGCAGCCGCGGUAAUAC